UGACACCAGAUCUAAUUAGUGGCACUGGUCAGCGUAUCCACUGUUAGCGUAACACACCCGCUUUAAGGACACUGACUGCUAUUCAAUCUAUAACAGUGAAAAAAGUGUUUUGUUUUUUUAAAUCCAAGCUUUGUGUCACCAGAUCUAAUUGGUGGCACUUGUCAGCGUAUCCACUGUUAGCGUAACACACCCGCUUUAAGGACACUGACUGCUAUUCAAUCUAUAACAGUAAAAAAAGUUUUUUGUUUUUAAAUCCAAGCUAUUGUGACACAGGAUCUAAUUAGUGGCACUUGUCAGCGUAUCCACUGUUAGCGUAAC